CUAGCGACUUCAGAGUUUUGAUCCUGGCUCAGGAUGAACGCUGGCGGCGUGCCUAACACAUGCAAGUCGAACGAAGCUCUUACGACGGAUCUCUUCGGAGUGAAGAUGUUUGAGACUUAGUGGCGGACGGGUGAGUAACGCGUGGGUAACCUGCCUUGUACAGGGGGACAACAGUUAGAAAUGACUGCUAAUACCGCAUAAGCCUACAGAACCGCAUGGUUCAGUAGGAAAAACUCCGGUGGUACAAGAUGGGCCCGCGUCUGAUUAGCUAGUUGGUGGGGUAAAGGCCUACCAAGGCGACGAUCAGUAGCCGGCUUGAGAGAGUGAACGGCCACAUUGGGACUGAGACACGGCCCAA
rnacentral:rRNA from 1 species